rnacentral:rRNA from 1 species
CGUACACUCCUACGGGAGGCAGCAGUGGGGAAUAUUGGACAAUGGGCGCAAGCCUGAUCCAGCCAUGCCGCGUGAGUGAUGAAGGCCCUAGGGUUGUAAAGCCCUUUCACCGGUGAAGAUAAUGACGGUAACCGGAGAAGAAGCCCCGGCUAACUUCGUGCCAGCAGCCGCGGUAAUACGAAGGGGGCUAGCGUUGUUCGGAUUUACUGGGCGUAAAGCGCACGUAGGCGGACUAUUAAGUCAGGGGUGAAAUCCCGGGGCUCAACCCCGGAACUGCCUUUGAUACUGGUAGUCUUGAGUUCGAGAGAGGUGAGUGGAAUUCCGAGUGUAGAGGUGAAAUUCGUAGAUAUUCGGAGGAACACCAGUGGCGAAGGCGGCUCACUGGCUCGAUACUGACGCUGAGGUGCGAAAGCGUGGGGAGCAAACAGGAUUAGAUACCCGGGUAGUCCC